rnacentral:rRNA from 1 species
UACAGAGGUCUCAAGCGUUGUUCGGAUUCAUUGGGCGUAAAGGGUGCGUAGGCGGCGCGGUAAGUCGGGUGUGAAAUCUCGGAGCUUAACUCCGAAACUGCAUUCGAUACUGCCGUGCUUGAGGACUGGAGAGGAGACUGGAAUUUACGGUGUAGCGGUGAAAUGCGUAGAUAUCGUAAGGAAGACCAGUGGCGAAGGCGGGUCUCUGGGCAGUUCCUGACGCUGAGGCACGAAGGCCAGGGGAGCAAACGGG